GGGCCCGCACAAGCGGUGGAGUAUGUGGUUUAAUUCGAUGCAACGCGAAGAACCUUACCAGGGUUUGACAUCCUGCGAAUCUCUUGGAAACAGGAGAGUGCCUUCGGGAACGCAGUGACAGGUGGUGCAUGGCUGUCGUCAGCUCGUGUCGUGAGAUGUUGGGUUAAGUCCCGCAACGAGCGCAACCCUUAUUUUUAGUUACCAAUUCGUUGGGUUCUCUAGAAAGACUGCCGGUGACAAACCGGAGGAAGGUGAGGAUGACGUCAAGUCAGCAUGCCCCUUAUGUCCUGGGCUACACACGUGCUACAAUGGUUAAGACAAAGAGUCGCGAGCUCGCAAGGGUCAGCUAAUCUCAUAAACUUAGCCUAAGUUCAGAUUGUAGGCUGCAACUCGCCUACAUGAAGUUGGAAUCGCUAGUAAUCGC
rnacentral:rRNA from 1 species